UCAGUACUCUAGAUAACAACUUAGUUGAUAUUUGAUAUUUUCUCCUAUUAAAACUGCGGUAUAAUCAUCAUAACAAGCAGCCUACAAAUAUAAAUGUUUAAAAAAAGGACUUCCGAUAAUUAGUCCCUACAGUGUUAUUUUCACAAACGUCGCAUUUAAAUUUACCAGUAUCAACAAUUCCAAGUCCUUGCACUCUCCUUGCAACUGAUAUAGAAAGUCGGUUAAAAAUAACGUUGUUUCAUUGUCACAUUAGGAUAAUAAUUGCAGCAUCCAAGUUCGUGUCACGAGCCCGAUAAGGGAAGGAAGCAAACAUCUGGAGAGUUUGCAUUCAAUGAUUAGACGUCUCGACGACAGGCGUCAUUAGUCUGCCGAUGUUUCGCGCAAGACAGUGUACAUCGUAUCUCUCUAAGCUCAUAUUCACGCAUUCCCUCGGGUCAAUUAAGACGUCUCGUGGCUAUUCUAUCAUUCCCGACCCUGGCUCGGUUGUGCAAUUCCGUUGAACGCGUGCACACAUGCCUCCGUUCAUCUACUUCAGUCGACGCAUCGAAUACUCGCAAAUUCUCCCAUUCGAGCUUAAUUGCUUCGUCGACUUUAUCUUUGCUGGAAAGCUCGUUGCUGCGCGGUAAAAAGAUUUCUUGAUCGUCACAAUUUUUGACAUCGAUCAAGUACUAGUGACCUCAUUAGAGCAUUGUUUAUUUUAUUAAAACGUCUUGGUUAAAACCUUAAUACCUUAUUUAAAAAAUUUGUAAAUUUCAGAUCCAACAAUGGGUUUUAACGUUUAUGCAAUUUUCUGUUGUAAACAAAUUUAUUUUUCAAUUUAUUCUAGAAGUAAAAACUUGUAAGUAUAAAAUUUGCAAUAUACCUAUAUGGGUCAAAUAUGAAGCUUCAAAGGAUUUUAUGAGAACGUUUACCCGACGCGUGAAAACGAUUGAAUUAAGAAACGAAGAUGAUGGACACAAUUUCAUCAAUCGAGAUGAGAAUACGAGCUUACAAAGUAGUCGAGGAAGCUCGAAAAAAAAAACGGAUAAAGACUUCCGGCAAAGAUGCUUUCGACGGACCCGUGAAUUUAUUUCGUUCCAUUUUACCAGCCAUUAGGAAAAUUAAAAAACCUCGAAAUUAAAACUUGUCCGAUAUUUAAGAGAUUGAUAAAUAAAAUUCAAUUAUUCUGAUUCCGAUUGAAUUUGGAUUAAAAUAUUUUUACGACGACAUUAACUGGUAAUUAGUUUUGAUUCGACGAAUAUCACCGAACGUUUCGAAUGAAACUUCCACGCGGAACUUAAGUGUAGUUCAUUUUAUUCGUCGCCAGAUUAUAAAAAUGUGAAGGACGAUCGAACGUUAAUGAGAUAUCGAACUUAUUCAAAGUUUCUCAAACUUUUUUCCUACUCCUGAAAUUCAUUUAAUUUUUUUAUGAAUCUGUAAUGAAGAAAGUUGUAUUAAAAGUACCUGUUUCGUUUCUUAAUAAAAACCUUCGUAAUUAUUUAAAGUAGAAGAAAUCCGUGUUAGUAAUAACUUUACUUUAU